UCUCUGUCUCUCUCUCUGUCUCUCUCUCUGUCUCUCUGUCUCUGUCUCUGUCUCUGUCUCUCUCUCUCUCUCUCUCUCUCUCUCUCUCUCUCUCUCUCUCUCUCUCUCUCUCUCAGAGUGGACAGAGAGAGUUCCACCGCAAAAUAGAGGCCCAGAAAGUCAAUUGGAACCCAUGAUACACAACACAGUGGCAAGAGAUCCCUAGGUCAGGAUGCCCGGAGAGCCCAGUGACAAGGACAGAGAGGGCAAGCUGCCCUCAGGGUCCAGGAAGGCGGCUUCCCCAUAACCCCGCGCUGUCAAAACAAAGAUCUCUAAGUUAGGGGGGAAAAAACCAACCGUUUGCUAUUUAAUACUUUUGAGAGUUAAUAUAGAGCUCUAAGAGGGUAAACGUGAGUGAUUCUCUUCUGCAACGAGACACCCCAAAGACAUCCCGUUGAUAUUCAGGAUGCUGACGGUUACCGGUUCCCUGGAUGCAAGGUCUCAGAACGCAGCAGUUCUGAAUCCAUCUGUCUGCAAUAUCCCCAGCCACCAAAGCUAGAUCCCUUCCCUUUUAGGUCUCCUGCUCAAAGGGUCGUGUUCAGUACAAGGAUUCCAACAAAUCCCGGCCUCUACCGUGAGCUCCGGUUUUGACAGUGAGGCGACCAGCUCUGAGGAUACACACCACUGUUAAUUCCUGCAGUCCACAAGCCAAUUCCCGCUCAACGGAAUUUUUCUUUUGCCAUGGCUUGUUUUAUUUUAGGCACCUUCCACAAUAAGAAGUAGGAUCCUAUGGUUGCCUUUCUGCCUUUGUUAUCACUUCUGCCUGACUGUGCUAGGGUCUUCAAAACGAGAUUUGCUAGAAGCCACAGAAGCAAGGAGCGCAUCUUGUAAGGAAGUCAUGGCAACAGGAAGUGUCUGAGGCUGCGGGGAGCAGGUGGGGUCCUGACGGUGUGAGGCCUGAGUCCUCAGCCAGCACCACAUCGCCUGUGUGUCAGGAGAAGAUUCCCAGUGAGGUUGGUACAUGCCCCGACUGUAGAAACAGACUGUGUGGUGAAGAGGGACGUGCCUCAAGCUAUGGUGCUUACCCAAGAGCCCAGAUGUGGGGUCACCCUGCUGCCUCAGCUAUCAGAACCUUAAGGGUUCCCAGUGAAGAUGAAAGAAAGACAAAUAAUAAAGACCAUUUGAUCCAAGUGCUGAAGAUUUUUUACAGAUAUGCCACUUCAGGUCUCUGCUCAAGGAUAAACUAUUUCAAAACUCUCUACACUAUUUUAUGUGGUGUGUGUGUGUGUGUGUGUGUUGCAUGUGUAUAUAAGUACUCUCAGCUGGGGCAGGACAUCAGGUGUCAUCCUUUGCCACUGUCCAUGUUGCGUUGCCCUGAGCUUGCUGCUUCAGCCAGCCUGAGUGUCCAGCACGCUCUCGGGAUCUGCACAUCUCUACUUAUGAUUGCUGAGCUCACAGGUAUAUGCAGCCAUGCCCCAGCUGUCUUACGUGGUGGGAUUAGGGAUAUGAACUCAGCUCCUCCCACUUACAGAGCAUGCAUUCCUGCCCACUGAGCCCCAAUUACAAAGACGUUUGAAAUACAGAAGUGCCCCCUUUUCCCCCUGCUAGUCUCAUGUGUCUGUGUUCAAGCCCUUCCCCCACUCCUUUUCCACCCCCCACCCCCCAAAGAGCUUUCACAUUUUAAAUAAUAAACAUGUGGGGUUCCCUGGUUAAGGGCACUUACUGUUCUUCCAAGGGACCACAGAUCAGUUCCCAGCACUCGCAUGGUAACUCACUACAACCCUUUAAGUCUAGUUCCAAGGACUCUGACGCCCUCUUUGUGGGUUCAGUCAUGUUAACGACUGUCAUUGUUCUGAAGCACGUAGGAGUCCGCUUCCGACUCCAGAAAGAUGGUACCGGACACCUCUUGCUCGUCUGGGACUCUUUAAUCAUCUCUAAGUGCAUCUUCAUAUGGAAAAUGAACAUUGAUGACUUAUUUCCUAGAGCCUGAAUUCAGCUCUUGGCUCUGCUCUUGGGACGAUCUACAAGGAGAGAUGGCAGAAAGGACCGCCUGUUCCGAUCUUGAUUAUGCAUGAGUAGGGUGGGGUAUCGAUCGCCCAGAUCAGAGGGGCUGAUCUCUGAGAGUGUCUGCCUGGCUAUCUCCAGAGAGAGUUAACUAAGGGGAAAGAGGCACCCCGAAUGUGGGCGACACCACCCCACCAGCUGAGAGCUGGAAUGGAGUUGAAGAAAAAAAAAAGGAUGACCAAUAUGACAGGUGUCUCCCCGCCCCUUCCUGCCCACUGAGAAGUGAGCCUCUUAGCUCCACUACUCACUCCCUGCCACAGUGGACUAAAAACUCUGACACUAAACCAAAAGGAAUCCUUCCUGGUUUGUUUAAGUAUUUGUUAUGCUGAUUCAAAAACCAAACAAAACCUGCAGCUGGCAGAGCAGAAAACAUAGAGCCCUAUUCUGAGACUUCUCUUCCCUCUUCCUUUUCUCACCUUUUCUACUCCACCCAGUCAAAGCUUCUGCCUCAGCGAUGACCCAAAUCCUCCCCAGAUUUCAUUUGGCCUCAGAUGUGUCCGAAAGUCCUUCACAGGCGUUUAAUGUCUUCAAAGUGGGAAGCCAGUUGCGAGUGAGGCUCAAACGGUCAAAGUUAGAAGGCACUUCCUCCUCUGAGUUACCUUUGCCUCUGAAAGAAAAUUCCAUUAUCACACACGGACACUGCCUUAUUUAGGGUUUCUAUCGCCCUGACAAACACACUGUGACCCAAAUCUACUUGUGGAAGAAAAGAUUUAUUUCAGCUUGCAGGUCACACUCUAUCACCGGCGGAAGUCAGGGCAGGAACUCAAGGCAGGAACGGAAGCAGAGGCCACGGAGAAACACUGCUUACCGGUCUGUUCCCCGGCUUGCUCAGCCGCUUACGGAAGCCAGAACCGCGAGCCCAGGAAAGGGCACCACCCACAGUGGGCUGGGCUCUCCCACAUCAAUUGUUAAUAAAGAAACGGCAU
rnacentral:lncRNA from 1 species